rnacentral:SRP_RNA from 1 species
GCCUCAUGGCAAUGGUGGGCGUAUGAACCGUGUCAGGUCCGGAAGGAAGCAGCACUAAGUACUGUCCCACCAUGUGUCAUGUGAUACAU